AUUGAACGCUGGCGGCAGGCCUAACACAUGCAAGUCGAACGAGUGGCGGACGGGUGAGUAAAGUCUGGGAAACUGCCUGAUGGAGGGGGAUAACUACUGGAAACGGUAGCUAAUACCGCAUACCAUCAGAUGUGCCCAGAUGGGAUUAGCUUGUUGGUGGGGUAACGGCUCACCGAGGCGAAGAUCCCUAGCUGGUCUGAGAGGAUGACCAUCCACGCUGGAGCUGAGACUGGGUCCAGACUCCUACGGGAGGCAGCAGUGGGGAUUAUUGCACAAUGGGCGCAAGCCUGAUGCAGCCGUGCCGCGUGUAUGAAGAAGGCCUUCUGGUUGUAAAGUACUUUCAGCGGGGAGGCGUUACCCGCAGAAGAUGCACCGGCUAACUCCGUGCCAGCCGCCGCGGUAAUUC
rnacentral:rRNA from 1 species